rnacentral:rRNA from 1 species
ACGCUGGCGGCAGGCCUAACACAUGCAAGUCGAGCGGAAACGACACUGACAAUCCUUCGGGUGCGUUAAUGGGCGUCGAGCGGCGGACGGGUGAGUAAUGCCUAGGAAAUUGCCUUGAUGUGGGGGAUAACCAUUGGAAACGAUGGCUAAUACCGCAUGAUGCCUACGGGCCAAAGAGGGGGACCUUCGGGCCUCUCGCGUCAAGAUAUGCCUAGGUGGGAUUAGCUAGUUGGUGAGGUAAUGGCUCACCAAGGCGACGAUCCCUAGCUGGUCUGAGAGGAUGAUCAGCCACACUGGAACUGAGACACGGUCCAGACUCCUACGGGAGGCAGCAGUGGGGAAUAUUGCACAAUGGGCGCAAGCCUGAUGCAGCCAUGCCGCGUGUAUGAAGAAGGCCUUCGGGUUGUAAAGUACUUUCAGUUGUGAGGAAGGGGGURWMGUUAAUAGCRWYAUCUCUUGACGUUAGCAACAGAAGAAGCACCGGCUAACUCCGUGCCAGCAGCCGCGGUAAUACGGAGGGUGCGAGCGUUAAUCGGAAUUACUGGGCGUAAAGCGCAUGCAGGUGGUUCAUUAAGUCAGAUGUGAAAGCCCGGGGCUCAACCUCGGAACUGCAUUUGAAACUGGUGAACUAGAGUACUGUAGAGGGGGGUAGAAUUUCAGGUGUAGCGGUGAAAUGCGUAGAGAUCUGAAGGAAUACCAGUGGCGAAGGCGGCCCCCUGGACA